ACUGAUUUUACUUUCCCUUUCUCUUUUUUCUUUAUGAAUCUUUUGAGGGUUGUCUUUUCAAUAUUUCUAUCCCAUUCAGCUUUUCUUAAGGACUUUUUUUCUUCCAUGACCUCAGCGGCUGCACUCUCCAUCUCUGCGAGGGGUGUUUGGCCCCAGGUUGUCUUCCUGGUGUAGUUUCUUGGCAUGAUGGCUUUUCUACAAUGUUUAUGACAUUAAAAAUAAAACAUAUAUAAUGUAAUUUAACACUAAAAUAUGUUUAAGACUAAACUUAACUUGUGCUUCAUGGUGGGGUAAAGUGAGACAGUGUCUCAUCUGUGCCAAUGUGACCUGUGGUCAUGGUGACUGCAUCAUCAACCUCAAAGAAGCCCUGUUUUUCGAGUGCAAAUGGACUUAUAGUAUAUCCUUGGAAUAGUAAGACCUACACUGGCAUAACUUGUCAUCCAGCCAGUAAUAAGAAUACAUGAAUAUAUUAUUUUCUGGAAGCUGGUGAAAGGAGAACUUAGGAAGCACUCAAGAAAAUCCAGAGUCCUCUCUACACAUUGCAUUAUUUCUUUUUUUUUAAUUUUAAACCACUGAUUUAUCAUCUUAGGGGUACCAAUACCUCAAAUUAAAUACCAGAAAGGCGUAACAUAUGGGCCCUUUAAUGGCUUACAGGUAUAAUGUAAUAUACACGAUAUACAUAAUAUAUAGUGGCAUAUAGAGUAAUUUGUGAGGAUGGUCAAACAUUCCUCAACAGUGAUGACUGUGACAGAGGGCAAACACAAAUAAAUUAUGCCCCUGAACCACUUUGCUACGGCCCUGCUCCCGUAACUAUUAUUUGUCUUGUCUGCGUCAGUGCCAGCAUCUCCCUGUGAGCCCAACCCCUGCCAGAACGGAGGCGUCUGCAUCCAAGGAGAACUACGCCAGCCCUGCACUUGUCCUGGAGGAUUCACAGGGAGGUUCUGCGGAACUGAUAAACAUUAUUUUAAAGGACGGAUUAUGUUUCAGUUUUUGUGUACAGCUCCCACUGACUGUUACUCUGGGAAUGGAGAGACGUACAAGGGAGUUGUCAGUACCACGGAGGACGGGGAGGAGUGUCUGGACUGGUUUAGACUGGACUGGACCAAUUUCAUCCUGCUGACCAUAGGAGGUCCUCUAACCAAAUACUCAGAGUUCAAAGACCUGGAACACAACAACCAUUGCAGGCUCUUCAUGUGUGUGUCCCUGUUGUCUUCACUCCUCUGUGGUUCCUGCAGGUACAGUCACUCCACCAAUCUGACGAGACAACUCCCACCAGUUCUCCCAGUGUGGAAUACCUGGUGUAAUCAGCAAGAUUAUUUUGGGUCUGAGGUUCUGCCCGGAUACAUCCCCUGGCAGGUGUCUGUUCAGUCCAGACUUAAGGGUUCAACCGGCCUUUUUGCUGGAGGAUGUGGUGGUAUCCUGAUCGGGUUCUGCUGGGUCCUCACUGCCGGCCACUAUAUGUAAUCCUGGAUUUGAGAAGCUCAGUACAAAGCUGUUGCACGCUCGUGUUUUGCUGAUAUCUGACAAGGUAUGCAGCACACCUCCUGUCUAUGGAGAUUUACUGGACGACAGCAUGAUGUGUGCAGGGACUCUGAAGGGAGGCGUAGAUGCCUGUCACGGUGACUCGGGCGGCCCGAUGACGUGUCGGCAGAGUAGCACACACUACGUCUCUGGUGUGGAUCGAAAGCAAGAUCGACUGAGCUGAGAAACCGGACAAAUCUGGCGUAGUUUAGGAAGAAAAUUGGACAAAAGGUUAAUUUGGCUUGAAAAAAAACUGAGAAAAAACAAUUUAAUUCAUCAGCAAUAAAACCAAGCAUUUACUCUGAGUCCAGCUUUGAGUCAAAAGAGGCACCGUUAUGAACUCACAAAGCGGAACCUGCCAGACAAAAUGGAGAUCACACAUCAUUUCAGUAGGACUGCACUUCUCUCUCUCGACGUACACCAGAUGAUCAAACCUUGAGAGAAAACUGUGUGGCUGCAACAAGGCUGCGUCUGUGCCUUGUCUAUUUGAACUUACAGCAUUAGUUUUUUAUCUCGUCAUGUAGAACAUCUUACAUCAAUCUCCGGUACAGCUCCUUUUCCUCUUCUAAACUUCAUCUCAAUAAAAGCAACUGAAAACUUUC